CCUACGGGAGGCAGCAGUAGGGAAUCUUCCACAAUGGACGAAAGCCUGAUGGAGCAACGCCGCGUGAGUGAAGAAGGCUUUCGGCUCGUAAAGUACUGUUAGUCGUGAGGAAGGAUACAAGUUGUAACUCGUCUGUAUUUGACGGUAAUUACUUAGGAAGUACCGGCUAACUCCGUGCCAGCAGCCGCGGUAAUACGUAGGGGGCAAGCGUUGUCCGGAUUUAUUGGGCGUAAAGCGAAUGCAGGCGGUUGAAUAAGUCUGAUGUGAAAUCCCCGGGCUUAACCCGGGAAUUGCAUCAGAAACUGGUCAACUUGAGUGUAGAAGAGGGGAGUGGAACUCCAUGUGUAGCGGUGGAAUGCGUAGAGAUAUGGAGGAACACCAGUGGCGAAGGCGGCUCCCUGGAC
rnacentral:rRNA from 1 species